GUUCCAGAAACCAACACGAUCGACUAGUACCGGACCCAUGCACCGUCUCUCUCUCUCGAUGCAGCCCUUCUUUUUUCUUUUCUUUCCCGUAAAAUGAAGAACAACCCUGGACAAGAGCCGAGUUGCAGAUUGAUGAGAUGAUGAUGAUGAAGAAUUGGAGUUUAUGUAGAGGAAGCAUGUCCUUUUGAGGGGAAUGUUGUCUGGCACGAGGCCACCAACCUUGGGUCCUUCCAAAUUUAAAUCCAUACUGAUCUUUGAUCAGAAUCUACGUACUACGUAGAGACGCUGAGGAACUAUGUGUAUGUUAGUGUCCUCGGACCAGGCUUCAUUCCCCUCAAUUCACUGCUUCCAUCUAAUUUGCCAAAACAGCAGUGUUCUUGAUUAAUUUCGCCAAUAUUGGUAUUCCGAUCUACUGCGUGUGGCGGAUCCAUCGAUCUCCAGUGGGUUGCAGGUGUGCGAGACAAAGGAAAGAAGAAAAAAAGAAGAAGACGACUUUUAUUUUCAUUAGGUGGAACAGAAAGCGAUCACUCUGGAAAUGUUAUGCAGGUUUUAUAUAUUGCCACCUGCAGUGAAGACGAUGAAGCAUCAUGCCUCAACACUUUAGGACUCGCUUGCUUAUUUACGGGGAGAAGAACCUCUUAUGUACUUCUUCGUAGAGAAAUAUGAUUCUGCAUAGAAGCGUUUUUUGUCCCAUCUAAAAUCACUCCCAAUUCAUUCCGCCAAAUAUAUAAAAGAAUUUCCAACCUUUACAAA